CAGGAGGCGCUGCCGCAAGACCGGGCUGUGCGAAAACGCGUUUAAACUUGGCCGCCGCCGCGGCCUGUAGUCGGCGUCUCCAACAUGGCGGCUGCCCAAGAUGUCCACGUCCGGAUCUGUAACCAAGAGAUUGUCAAAUUCGACUUGGAGGUGAAGGCGCUUAUCCAGGAUAUUCGAGAUUGUUCAGGACCAUUAAGUGCACUUACUGAAUUGAAUACUAAAGUGAAAGAGAAGUUUCAACAGUUACGGCACAGAAUCCAGGAGCUUGAGCAGUUGGCUAAAGAGCAAGACAGAGAGUCGGAGAAGCAGGCUCUGCUCCAGGAAGUGGAGAGUCACAAAAAGCAGAUGCUCAGCAAUCAGACCUCAUGGAGGAAAGCAAACCUCACUUGCAAGAUGGCUAUCGACAAUGUAGAGAAAGCAGAACUUCUCCAGGGAGGAGACCGCUUACGGCAAAGGAAAACCGCCAAAGAGAGCCUGGCCCAGACAUCCAGCACCAUCACAGAGAGCCUCAUGGGGAUUAGCAGGAUGAUGUCCCAGCAGGUCCAGCAGAGCGAGGAAGCCGUGCAGUCACUAGGCAGGGGCAUCCGUGACCAUCAGCGGUGGUGCCACAGCUCCGUCUCCACUGCAGACGCCGCAGGUGAGCUCAGGACCCCUCCCUCAUCUCCAUCCAGACAUCGGUGCUCAUCCACCUCUGCCUGUCCCCGACCUCCCUCUCCGUGCUCUGCGUACCGCCUGGCCCUUUUCCAGGCUUCCGCCUCUUCCCUGACACGCCUCCCGCUGCCCCUUCUGGGUCCCCUUUCCCUUCACCAAGCCUGUCUCCCUGAAGCCUCUUCUCACCAUCCCAGGAGGUGAGACUUCAUUCAACAGAUACAGGUCAACGUUGUGCUGGAAAGAAGGCACCCAUACAAGGUGUUGGUGAAUUGAGGGACCCGAAAAGGCCCUGCUGGAGGCAGUUCGACAGAGUGGCUCAAUUCGGAGAUGCUUCUAAGGAAAAAAAAAGACAGUCAAGUGUAAACGAAGCUAUGUUUUCUUCCGUAGCUAAUGAUGGCCUCCCCUGAGGCCCUGCCUGAGGGUUUGCCCAAGCUGUGUUUCUUCCCUAAGCAAGGACAGAAUAAAAAUAGCCGGGGGCUAAUCUAAGAGAUAACAGAUAGGAGCCUCAGCCACAUUGUCGGGAAUGAAGGGCUGCAGGCUGGGGUGAGGGGGGGGGGUGUUAUCAGCACCCCUCCCUCAGCCCCCAGCAGCAAGGCCCAGGGCCCAAGGUAUUGGUCAGCUUUCAUCACAGUGGUCAAAGUGUGGCCUUUGGUGGCAGAGAGGCCUGGGCUCUAAUUGUACUCUUCCCGGGCGUGUGGCCUCAGCAGGGAUGGCCCCUGUUGCUUUCUCAUCAGGACGCAGGGACAGCCGAUGACGUUGACCUCUCAGGGGUGCUAGGAGGAUUAAAGGACAAAACUCGAACACCUCUCCCACCAUAACCCCUAUGACCACUGCAUUCAUUCCAAACCAAAGCACAGUGGUGCCUCAUGACCCUUUCUCUGUGGGGCUUUACUUGGAAAUGGAGCUUAGGCCAAGAGGAAGAUGCCUGGGUUGGGAAGGUAGCAGGACCCGAGGCCAGCGUAGUGUUUCUCAGGUGGCAAAGGGCUGCGAGCAGAGCAGCAGGCCGGGCGAGUUGGCCGACGUUCCUAAUCCAUUAGAAACCGCCCACGAAGAAGCUCAGUGGAAAAUGUCCUCUUUUUAUUAUUCUGAAACCGUCACUCCUCCUCCCCCUGCAAUCUUGUUUGCUGGCAAAGCGUGCUCCCGGAUAACAUGAAUCCAUAAAGUAGCAAAUGAAUAUGGACUGAAACAUGAGGAAACAGCCAAUCCAUUUUAAUCUGACAGUUUGACAAGUAUGAAAACCAAGAGUGUCCCUGACAGAAACAUCACAGUUUCUAAGAAAGGAGUUCAUAGUUUGCGGGAGCUGGCCCUUCCGUGGUGUUCUCUGCUGCCACCUGAACAGGCCGAGGACCAGUGGAUUAGAGGACCAAGGGCUGUGCGUUGUUAGACUGCAGGCUCCUGGCUGCGUUCCUGAAAGACCUCAACCCCGCCGCCGCCACCACCCAAUCCCUUCCAGAAUCUUAUCGCGCGUGUGCUCUGGCUACAGUCUGUGCUGGGCGCUGGACAGAAGAGGAAGUCCACCUGCCUUGGGGAGCCCACUGCCUGUCAGGGACAGACCUGGAGCCAAACAGGUGUCCAUUACGGGUCACACUGGGGAGCCCUUUAAUACCUUCGGAGACGUCCACACCAUGGGGUACGAGGCAGAGUGAGAAGCCAUGAGGGGACAUAUGGAGUGGUGGAGAGCCCUCCAGGACACGCUGCUAAGUGAACAAAGGACACUGCAGAACCAAACUUAGAUGGCAUUUCUGUAAAAUCGUCCACAUUUAAAACAAAGCUACAUGCUUUUAUCUGGAUAUGUGUGUGCGCGCAUGUGUGUGCAUGUGUGGGAACGGACUGGAAGGGCGGGAUUGGUGGAGCUAUUUCUAAGGAGGCAGCUGAAAGGUGGGACAAGGGGACUUUCUUUAUGACUCUAUAUGCCCUUGUGUUAUUCAACAGUUUACAAUGGUAACAUGUUCAUGUGCUAUUAGAUUAAAUGAACUAAUUAAUAAGUAAAAAAUGUAAAACAAACCAAACCGGACAGGUGGAAAGUACCUACCUUGCAGGCUGUUGGGCGGGUUGAGAGGCUGUGUCAUGCUCCCCGCACCUUUUCCAGCAGCAGGAGGCCCUCAGCCAGCGCUGGUCACUUCCACCAAGUCCACGUGGGCAGGCCACGGUGCUUGGGGAGUGCAGAGCUGAGAAUGAGGCAGUGAGCGGUCAGGGAGGCCGGAAAGGACAGACCCAGGACGUAGUCACAUAUAUGGGACCCAUCAAUGCCACCUGGGUAGAUGAGGUCUCUUUCAGAGAGUGUGGGGAGGGGAACGGGCUCUGUGUUUGGCUCCGGGCCGCUGUGAUGCUUGGGGCAGUGGGGGAAAAGGAACCAUGGGAAAGAGCCACGGAGAGAAACGCUGGAGAGGAAGCUGGGAGGGGGGCGGCCCAGGAGGCAGGUGCAGAGAAGGAAGGAGGCGCCCACGGUGUCAGGGGCCAGGCAGGCCCCGGGGGCGAGGCCUGAGGAGAGAGCUGGGCCCUGCUCCCCCGCCCAGCGUGGUUUCAGUGGGAGGGAGGGCAGAAGGCAGCUGGCAGAGGCAGGCAGUGAAUGUGGACCAUUCCGUCAAGAAGUGCGGACGAGAUAGGCAAGAGAGAGGCUGCUGAGGAAGGAGACUUACAUCUUGCAGAGCAAUACAAGGGGAUUUACUGGGGAAGGCAGCACGGCGCUUCCUCAGAAAAUUAAACAGAAUUGCAUACGAUCCAGCAGCCCCACUUCCGGACAUUUCCCCAAAGGAACUGAAAGCAGGGGCUCGAACAGAAAUUUGUACUCGCGUGUUCACAGCACUGACUCAGCCCAGGUCAGAAAACAGAUCACAAGCAUCUUCCUUCUGGAAAAUGGAUUUACAUCGGAAGGUGAGCCUUCAGGGUAAUGUUUACAUCCAUCUUUCAGCCACGCUGCUCAUGUUACUUCGCGUCACCUUGACUUCAAACACUUGUACCCAGCGAGCAGAGGCGUUGGCAUCAGCCACUGUCAGGAACAAAUGUGGUCGCGUAAUCCCAGGGCCUGCGAGGAAUGCGGCAGCAACAGACCAAGUUAUUAACCAUUUUCUAAACCUGAAACCUGGAAAGCAAAUAGCAGAGGGACCCCUGAGCAGAUAGCAUUAGCGAUCCAGGAUUUUAUAAUAUCAAACCUCCAACCAAAAUACAUCCAGUUCCUUCUGACUUGAAAGACCCCCACUCAAGAGGUUAAUGUGUUACCUUAUGCAUUUUCACACACUCAAAAGUGCUUUCUUUCUCUUGUUUUUUAGCAGUGAUGUAACUGGUAGAAACAGGUGGGCAGAGUUCAAGGGGCCUCCAUUCUGUAGGCGUAGGGCAGUGGGCCUAGCUAAGCACAGAUGAGCUUAUUUGCUUGUGUUAGGGACAGUGUGGGAGAAGGACCCUGCUCCUGUCCCUUGAGCAGGGCAGCAGUGUCCCUCUUCCCUUGGCCUCAGGGGUGAGGGGCAAAUGUCCUGUGAUGGGCAUCUGCUCUGUCUGCACAUCCAUUCUCCAUCUAGGAAUAGCCCCCCAGUUUUCCUUUGUGAAACCACCCUUCCCCACUCUCAGUCCCAUGGUUAAGGCGGAGAUGAACCAACCCCCGAUGAGAGAGAGGGUUGGAGAUGUGACCUGGACAGUCAGGGUCAGCGUGAUUAGCUCAUUGAUUUGUUCACAUGACCGAGGCCAGGCCACUGAGCAUUCGCCCUGGAAGGUUUGCUGGAAUUCUCUUUGUCUGGGGUCAAUAAGCUCAUAGGAAGGGAUCCUGGAGCUGCUGGGGGGCCUGGCCAAGCGGAGAGCUGAGAGACAGAGGAGCAAGGACACAGCAUCCUUUUGACAUAAUUUGAGCCCCUGGAUCCAGCCAUUCCUGAAGCUAGACUCUCUCUGGUUUUCCUACUUAGGUCAGCCAAAAAUGACCUUCUUUUACUUUGGGUUUCCAUCACGUGCAACCUUAUACAGGGCUUCAGUGAGAUUGACAAAAUUUGCUUCCUUGGAGGUGCCCUGCACUGCCCUCUACGCCAGCAUACAUGAGCUGUCCCCGCCAACCAGGUGUGCCUGAGACACUGACACACCCCCAUCCUUGGGGCAGCCUGGCAGAGCCUGGGCAACUGGAGCCCCUGGGCUGUGCGCCGAACUUUAGGGAGGCCCAGGUGAGCAGGUGGGGCUGAUAGUGGCCCUGUGGUGUCCCAAAGGCCUCAGGAGCACUGUCAGCCUCAGUGGCAUGUCUUGGCCUGGGCAGGGUGCGGGGUGCAGCCAAGGAGACGCUGCCGCCUGGACGUCGAUGAUGGUAGCCAGCCACAGGGUGCCCUGAUGCCUGAGUUGACAAGGGCCAUGGGACUGGUGGGACUUGAGUUCCACGUGCUCAGAAGCAGUAGGUGCAGACGCAGGAAGAGGGGCGGAUGGGGGUGGGUACCGGGUCAGGCCCUGCUCCAGGCAGCUUGUUUGAGUCUCAGCUUCACACAGACACUUCUGCCGGUGUGGCUGAUGGGUCCCUUUAGGGGCAACCGUGCCACCUGCAGGCAACCGUCCUCACCAUGCAUGAGUAUGCUACAAUUUAGUGCUUUGUCAUUAUUUUGACAUUCUCUAUAUAAAGAAAUGAGACUGGAUUCAAAAUCCCAAGAAGUUCCUGCAUUAUAAUUGCC